rnacentral:rRNA from 1 species
GUGCCCUACGGGGCGCAGCAGUGGGGGAUAUUGCACAAUGGGGGAAACCCUGAUGCAGCGACCCCGCGUGGGUGAAGAAGCGCCUCGGCGUGUAAAGCCCUAUCAGUGGGGAAGAAAAAGGACGGUACCCAAAGAAGAAGCACCGGCUAAAUACGUGCCAGCAGCCGCGGUAAUACGUAUGGUGCAAGCGUUAUCCGGAAUGACUGGGUGUAAAGGGAGCGUAGACGGUUGUACAAGUCUGAUGUGAAAGCCCACGGCUCAACUGGGGGAGUGCAUUGGAAACUGUAGAACUAGAGUAUCGGAGG